rnacentral:rRNA from 1 species
GUCCUAGCCCUAAACGAUCAGGACUUGGGGUGCUUCACGUUCGUGGAGCGUCCCGGAGCUAACGCGUUAAGUCCUGCACCUGGGGAGUACGGUCGCAAGACUGAAACUCAAAGGAAUUGACGGGGCCCGCACAAGCGGUGGAACAUGUGGUUCAAUUCGACGCUACGCGAGGAACCUUACCUGGGCUCGAAGCGCACUUGACUAGCUAUAGAAAUAUGGCCUUCCCGCAAGGGACAAGUGUGGAGGCGCUGCAUGGCUGUCGU